rnacentral:rRNA from 1 species
UGGGGAAUAUUGCACAAUGGGGGAAACCCUGAUGCAGCAACGCCGCGUGAAGGAUGACGGUUUUCGGAUUGUAAACUUCUUUUCUUAGUGACGAAGACAGUGACGGUAGCUAAGGAAUAAGCAUCGGCUAACUACGUGCCAGCAGCCGCGGUAAUACGUAGGAUGCAAGCGUUAUCCGGAUUUACUGGGUGUAAAGGGAGCGCAGGCGGGACUGCAAGUUGGAUGUGAAAUACCGUGGCUUAACCACGGAACUGCAUCCAAAACUGUAGUUCUUGAGUGAAGUAGAGGCAAGCGGAAUUCCGAGUGUAGCGGUGAAAUGCGUAGAUAUUCGGAGGAACACCAGUGGCGAAGGCGGCUUGCUGGGCUUUAACUGACGCUGAGGCUCGAAAGUGUGGGGAGC